UACGGGGGGGGCAAGCGUUGUUCGGAAUUACUGGGCGUAAAGGGCUCGUAGGCGGCCAACUAAGUCAGGCGUGAAAUCCCUCAGCUUAACUGGGGAACUGCGUCUGAUACUGGAUGGCUUGGAUCCGGGAGAGGGUCGUGGAAUUCCCGGUGUAGCGGUGAAACGCGUAGAGAUCGGGAGGAACACCAGAGGCGAAGGCGGCGACCUGGACAGUGACUGACACUCAACUACGAAAGCGUGGGGAGCAAACAGG
rnacentral:rRNA from 1 species